rnacentral:tRNA from 1 species
AAGAAAUUAACGUUGGAACUGCUAACUCCCAACCCCUGGAACUAACACACCCCAGACUUCUU